ensembl:lncRNA
GUAGAAACGCUGUAGUACACAAGCCAGGCCCAUAAGGGGCGCUGCUUCUGCUACAGAAAUCCAGAAGGAAAAUAAAUAAGAAAAGAGGCGAGCAUGCGCAUAAAGGGUGAGACUCCGCGGGCUUAACAGUCAUUGGCUAGAGGAUCGGGGGGGGGCAUGACGUCAUGGUUUGCGGUUUCAGUCGGUUUCAGGCGUCCACACGAAUCCAAAACGAAACCGGAUAGAUUUGAAACCACCUCCGAGGGUGGUUUCAGAAGUUUGCGGUUUCGGUCAGCGGAUUCGCCGGCUUCGUGUGGACGGAAGGCCGAACCGUACAAGACCUUUGCGGUUUCGCCAUGAAAUCGGCUUCGUGUGGACGGGGCCUAGGGGCCGUGGACUGCGGUACCACUUUCCUGAAGAGGAACUCGCUGGCUCUAAAUCCCUGAUCAAAACGUUUCUUCACACGCAAGCACUCGUCACUUGAAUUUGUUGUAUGUAUAUCGAUUUUUUUUUUAAGGGGCUUGUUCUGAGUUGUAUGUACUUUUGCUGUAUGUAUGCUACUUAUGUUUAGGUUUUUUUAUGUAUUUGUAUGCACCUUGUUACUUAAGUGCAAUACGAAAUGGCUCAUUACCAUGCCACCGCUUGGAAAUGUGGGCUCUGGUAACUGUGGCAAGGCCUGGCAACAAAAUGGAAUAACUGGCAAAACUGACCACAACGUUUGGGAAAUAAACUGCUUAGGGAACUCUGUUGACGGGAAAGUCACCGUGGUGAAUUUAGUUUGUUGGAUAUUCGCAUAUUCAUUUCGGGUUUCUGAGGUGCUUUCAGUCAGUCUUGGCGGACAACCAAAGGACACCCACUAACUUUUCACUUUUCACAUAGGCAUCGUCAAUAAAUUACUACUCCAUUAAUUUCUUAUGGAAAAUGGCUUUUUGCUCAGUUCCACCUAGUAGAACAGUUCUUUAUUGGUUUGGGGUCUUUCGGUGGCAUACAUGGAAGCUAUUGAGCAAAAAGCUAUUUUCCAUAGGAAAAGAAUAGGAUUCUUUAAAAAAAAAUAAUGCAAUUGUAGGUGCAACAAAUGAUAUUAUCCUUGUGUAUAAUGAAGGCCGGAAUGGAAGGUGGCUGUCAUCUGACCCCACUGCCUCAUUAUCCGAUGCUAGGAAAUGGAUAUGUAUUCAUGUAUUGGCAAUGAACAUACAUAAUUGUCUUGCUAAUCAAAUGUGAGAUGAUUGAGUGUAAAUUCAUUUGUAAUUUUUUGUUGAAGGUACUAACAUUUCCCUGAUUCUUUCAGGACAUGAACGAUAACGAGAAUCUGUCAGCCUGUGAGUCCAGGGUGACUAUGGAGGUCACCACGAAUCAAUGGGAAACUCAACCCAGCAGUGCUGUGGCUGCAUGUAACUGUUUCACAUGACUCUUCCUUCUGCAUGAUCAUCUAUCUAAAGAGGGACGAGACCUCCACCUCCUCAUCAAGGCCUUCUCGAGGGACAGACAAGGUUUUUAUUUAGGUUAUUCCUUUUUGUAAGGCCACAAGGCUUUGAACACGCAACUGCACAGCGAUGGAUAAUGAAUGAAUUCAAUAAAGAUGAACAAAUGUAUUUCCGUCCAUUGUAUUUUUUAUUGAACAAAAGUCCAACAAAGCU